CCUACGGGAGGCAGCAGUUGGAAUAUCGGACAAUUGGGGUAACCCCCUGAUCCAGCCAUGCCGCGUGAGUGAUGAAGGCCUUCGGGUUGUAAAGCUCUUUUAGUAGGGAAGAAGGGAAACUUGACUGUACCUACAGAAAAAGCACCGGCUAACUCUGUGCCAGCAGCCGCGGUAAUACAGAGGGUGCAAGCGUUGUUCGGAAUUAUUGGGCGUAAAGCGCGUGUAGGCGGUCGAAUAAGUCUGGUGUGAAAGCCCGGGGCUCAACCCCGGAAGUGCACUGGAUACUGUUUGACUAGAGGACGAGAGAGGAGAGUGGAAUUCCUGGUGUAGGGGUGAAAUCCGUAGAUAUCAGGAGGAACAUCUGUGGCGAAGGCGGCUCUCUGGCUCGUUUCUGACGCUGAGACGCGAAAGCGUGGGGAGCAAACAGGAUUAGAUACCCUGGUAGUCCACGCCCUAAACGAUGAAUACUAGUCGUCGGGAUACCUAAUUGUCUCGGUGACGCAGCUAACGCAUUAAGUAUUCCGCCUGGGAAUUACGGUCGCAAGAUUAAACUCAAAGGAAUUGACGG
rnacentral:rRNA from 1 species